rnacentral:rRNA from 1 species
ACGGAGGAUCCGAGCGUUAUCCGGAUUUAUUGGGUUUAAAGGGUGCGCAGGCGGCCAUUUAAGUCAGCGGUUAAAUCGUGGGGCUCAACCCCAUUCUGCCGUUGAUACUGGGUGGCUUGAUUGCGGUCGAGGUUGGCGGAAUUCGUUGUGUAGCGGUGAAAUGCAUAGAUAUGACGAAGAACACCGAUUGCGUAGGCAGCUGACCAGACCGCAAAUGACGCUCAUGCACGAAAGUGCGGGGAUCGAACAGGAUUAGAUACCCUGGUAGUCCGCACAGUAAACGAUGAAUACUUGUUUUCGGCGAUAUAAUGUCGGAGGCAAAGCGAAAGCGAUAAGUAUUCCACCUGGGGAGUACGCCGGCAACGGUGAAACUCAAAGGAAUUGACGGGG